UGUGUGAAGGGCUGACCUGGCCUAGAUGCUAAGGGGAUUCCCCUCAUGCUAUAGGGCAAGUAUUAGCUGGUGCUGACAUUGCAGCUAUAGUCCCCCCAUUUUCAAUAGAGACACAAUAGACAUGGGUCCCUUCUUUCUUCCCAAACAAGGAGUGGGUAAUAUUUCUACUAACUUUUCAGCUAAGAACCUCCCUUAGAGGCAGUACUUGUAUGUGUAUAUUCCCACAGCUUCACAGUUGCAGCUUCAGUAGUAUUUCAGAACUAAUACAACCAUUGUUAUUUUUGAUAACCUCAUAAAAGAAACUAAAACAGAAAAGGCGAGUAUGUGAUAUACUGUGAAAAUUAUUAAAAGUUUUUCAUAAGCAACAUUAAUGCCCUCUUGUAGUUUUAAACAUUAUUUUUCAUACUCCCAAGACUCUAAGAAGGGUACAUCGCUGCUUCAGGAAAUUUUGAAACAUAAUCCUUUAUAUCCUUUAUGUCAGGUUACAGUCUGCUAAGGAAAUCUGAAUAAAAAGAAAAAACUGGUAUUAGUGGAUUAAAGCCAUAGAUCA
rnacentral:lncRNA from 1 species